rnacentral:rRNA from 1 species
UGGGGAAUAUUGGGCAAUGGGCGCAAGCCUGACCCAGCAACGCCGCGUGAAGGAAGAAGGCUUUCGGGUUGUAAACUUCUUUUCUCAGGGACGAACAGAUGACGGUACCUGAGGAAUAAGCCACGGCUAACUACGUGCC